rnacentral:rRNA from 1 species
UACGAAGGGGGCUAGCGUUGCUCGGAAUCACUGGGCGUAAAGGGUGCGUAGGCGGGCAGGUAAGUCCGUGGUGAAAUCUCUGAGCUUAACUCAGAAACUGCCAUGGAUACUAUUUGUCUUGAAUGUUGUGGAGGUAAGCGGAAUAUGUCAUGUAGCGGUGAAAUGCUUAGAUAUGACAUAGAACACCAAUUGCGAAGGCAGCUUACUACACAAAUAUUGACGCUGAGGCACGAAAGCGUGGGGAUCAAACAGG